rnacentral:ncRNA from 1 species
GUUCAAACGAUGAAGGGAUUAUAGUGGAUACCUAGGCACCCAGAGAUGAGGAAGGGCAUGGUAAGCGAAAAAAUUCUUUGGAGAGUUGAAAAUGAGCAUAAAUCUGGAUAUUCCUGAAUAGGUUAACCUUUUUAACUAUUGUUGAAUCCAUGGGCAGGCAAGAGACAACCUAGUGAACUGAAACAUCUUAGUAGCCAGAGGAAUAGAAAGAAAAAGUGAUUCCCAUAGUAGCACUGAGUGAAAUGGGAGUACCCUAAACUGUGAAAAUGGGGUUUUGGUAGAGCACAAUAUAAUCUCUGUGUUGCUAGGAUAAUCAGUUGAGUCUUGCACCCUAGAUGGUGAGAGUCCAGUAUCCAAAAGAAUCAUUGUCUUAUGCUCUAACCCGAGUAUCAUGGGGCACAUGGAAUUCCGUGUGAAUCAAAAAAGACCACCUUGCAAGGCUAAAUACUCUUGGGUGACUGAUAGCGAAGUAGUACCAUGAGGAAAAGCUGAAAAGAACCCCCAACAGGGAGUGAAAUAGAACAUGAAACCAUAAGCUCCCAAGCAGUGGAAGGAAAAUUAUAUAUUUGACUGCGUGCCUAUUGAAGAAUGAGUCGGAGACUUAUAGGUAGUGGUUGGGUAAAUAGAACACACUAGAGCCAUAGCGAGAGCGAUUCUUCAUGGGGAAAUUGUCACUUCUUAUGGACCCGAACCUGGGUGAUCUAUCCAUGACCAUGAUGAAGCUUUGGUGAAACUAAGUGGAGGUUCGAACCGACUCAUGUUGAAAAAUAAGCGGAUGAUUCAUGGUUAGGGGUGAAACAUCACUCGAACCUAGAGCUAGCCGGUUCUCCCUGAAAUGCAUUGAGGCACAGUAGUUGACUGGGCCAUCUAGGGGUAAAGCACUGUUUCAGUACGGGCCGCAAGAACGGUAGAAAAUAGAGGAAAUAUAUGAAUAAUAGAUUUCCCCAAUAAAAGGAGUAAAGGUUAGAAAGUGAGAUGAUGGGGAAUAAGCUUCAUCUUCGAGAGGGGAACAACCCAAAGAAUCAACUAAGGCCCCUAAAUGACCGCUCAUAUAUGAAGGAAGUACGAGUGCAAAGACAGCCAGGAGGUUUGCCUAUAAGCAGCCGACCUUGAAAGAGUGUGUAAUGGCUCACUGAUUGAGCACUCUUGCGUCGAAGAUAAAUGGGACUAAGAGAUAUGUCAAAGUUGUGGGAUGUAAAAAUACAUCAGUAGGGGAGCGUUCUGCCUCAGAGGGAAGCACUGACAUGAGAAGGUGUGGACAAAGAGAAAGCGAGAAUGUCGGCUUGAGUAACGCAAACAUUGUUGAGAAUACAAAUCCCCAAAAACCUAAGGGUUCUUCCGCAAGGUUCGUCCAAGAAUAUUAACCCCAUUGGAAUAUAAAAGAUUAUUGUGGUCCAAUUUGUUAUGGAACAUCAAAUUUGAACUUGCUUUAUUGUCCCUUCUCCCCAUGAAAAAAAGGGGGUAUUUAAUCAAUCUAAUUUGAAUCAUAUUGCUAACGAUCUUAUUUGUUCUUACUAAAGUAAGAGAAGCAUAAGUCUCAGAUUCUAUAGAAUCUAUUUGUUCUGAAUCAAAUCCUAGACAAGUUUGAACCAAUGGAAUACUUGUGUCACUCAUUACUUGGAUUUGUUCACCAUCUUCGUACGAACUAGAAUUGCUAACUUGAAUGUGCAAGUUGUCCCCAUCCCUCUAUAAAUCUAGGGAACAUGAUGUUGCCAUAAUGGGCCCAUCAGGUAUUCCAUAUUCUACGUCAGAAUAUCCAAAAAUGUAAUUUCUUUGUAUAACACCACUUUUCAUUAUUCUAAGAAUCGCAUCAGGACAAGAUAAUAUUCUUUUUCCCCAUUCUUUAUCACACUGCAAUAGGACAAUGAAUCGAUUCAUUUUCUUUUUUCGCUUUAUAUUGUAAUUCUUAGGGGAAAAGGUGAGACAAAUAGAGUCUCGAUGCUCGUUGGAUAUUGUCUAAUCAGUUUUUGAAUAACUGGAGAUUUGUUCUUCCUUCCCAUAGAAGUUUGAGUCACUUGAUCUAUGUUCCACUUGAUCCACAUAAGAAUCAGAAAGUGAUUGAUGUUUGGAAACAAACGGUUGAACAUCUACUUGAUCCCGAUGUUUAUGAAAUGGAAAGGGUACUACACCGUAUCCGUAUAUACCUCUCGAUAAUACCAUAGAUAACCCAUCCUGAAUAUAGGAUGAACAUCAGCGUGUACAUAUUUAGGUGCAUGACACACAUUGGUACUCUAGUGCAUUUCUUCUUCUAGGUUAGAAUAUAUAUUUUUGUGAACUUUUUCCUUGAAGGAAGAUGUUCUAGCAUGAACCUCAACAAUAAUUUGUUUCAAUUCCACAUAUUGAUCAUUUUGAACCAAAAGUAAAGUUUUUCAUGGAAUGGUUAAGUUUUGUACUUGAUCCACCCCGUAGGAAUUAUGAGAUUUCCCCAAGGAUGUCGAAGGCAUGCAAGGGUCAUAGAUCGACCAUAUACCCACCUUGAUUCGAGGAGUGGAAUGCAUUAGAUGUUCUCUCCAAUUGGAUAGGAAGGGUCAGAGAAGAGAAAUCAUUAUUAGGACCAAAAAUUCGAGCGGAAAAAGGGGAGAGCUCUUCGUUCUUAUCCUAGUUCUCUUGUAGCUAGAUAGCCUAGAACUACAAGAAUUCCCGAAAUGGGAUUUCAACUCAGCACCUUUUUGGAAGAGUUUCUCUUUGGAGAGAACAGUACGAUGAAAGUUGUGAGAU